AAAGUACUCCCUCCGUCCCAAAAUUCUUGUCUUAGAUUUGUCUAGAUAUGGAUGUAUCAAGUCACAUUUUAGUAUUAGAUACAUCCGUAUCUAGAAAAAUCUAAGACAAGAAAUUUGGGAUAGAGGGAGUAGUUG
rnacentral:pre_miRNA from 1 species